rnacentral:miRNA from 1 species
AUUUCAUCGGCACAUAUCUAUCCC